rnacentral:rRNA from 1 species
GAUGAACGCUAGCUACAGGCUUAACACAUGCAAGUCGAGGGGGCAGCAUGAAGUUUGCUUGCAAACUUUGAUGGCGACCGGCGGAUGGGUGAGUAACGCGUAUCCAACCUGCCCCCUUCCCGGGCACAGCCCUUGGAAACGAGGAUUAACUCCCGAUGGUGUCAGACUAGCGCAUGCUUAUCUGACCAAAUGUUUAAGGAAGGGGAUGGGGAUGCGUCCCAUUAGCUUGUUGGCGGGUAACGGCCACCAAGGCUCCGAUGGGUAGGGGUUCUGAGAGGAAGGUCCCCCACACUGGAAUUGAGACACGGUCCAGACUCCUACGGGAGGCAGCAGUGAGGAAUAUUGGUCAAUGGAGGCAACUCUGAACCAGCCAAGUAGCGUGAGGGAA